UGGGGAAUAUUGCACAAUGGGCGAAAGCCUGAUGCAGCAACGCCGCGUGAGUGAUGAAGGCCUUCGGGUUGUAAAGCUCUGUCUUUUGGGACGAUAAUGACGGUACCAAAGGAGGAAGCCACGGCUAACUACGUGCCAGCAGCCGCGGUAAUACGUAGGUGGCAAGCGUUGUCCGGAUUUACUGGGCGUAAAGGAUGCGUAGGCGGAUUUUUAAGUGAGAUGUGAAAACCCUAAGCUUAACUUGGGGACUGCAUUUCAUACUGGAAAUCUAGAGUGCGGGAGAGGAGAAUGGAAUUCCUAGUGUAGCGGUGAAAUGCGUAGAGAUUAGGAAGAACACCAGUGGCGAAGGCGAUUCUCUGGACCGUAACUGACGCUGAGGCAUGAAAGCGUGGGUAGCAAACAGGAUUAGAUACCCUGGUAGUCCACGCCGUAAACGAUGAGUACUAGGUGUAGGAGGUAUCGACCCCUUCUGUGCCGCAGUUAACACAAUAAGUACUCCGCCUGGGAAGUACGAUCGCAAGAUUAAAAACUUAAAUGAAUU
rnacentral:rRNA from 1 species